rnacentral:rRNA from 1 species
GACGAGUCUCACGAACGUUAUUCGGAAUUACUGGGCUUAAAGGGUGCGUAGGCGGUGAAGUAAGUCGGGUGUGAAAUACCAUAGCUUAACUAUGGAACUGCACUCGAUACUACUUUGCUAGAGUAAGACAGAGGUGAGUGGAACUGAGGGUGGAGCGGUGAAAUGCGUUGAUAUCCUCAGGAACGCCAGUGGCGGAAGCGACACACUGGGUCUCAACUGACGCUGAGGCACGAAAGCCAGGGGAGCAAACGGG